UUUAUUUGAAGAAAUUGCGAACGUUAUUUUCUUUUUCAACUCUUGAGCUCUUUUUCGUGUCAAUGUUGCUCAAAAGCAGAUCGACCGAUAAAACAGAAAUUUGUUAAAUGGGAAAUAGAAGAUAUGAAAAAAAAUCUUUCAGUUUCUCUAAAUUUGUUCAGUAAAUCGAAUUUUCGAGGUUUUGUUGACCUCCUGCCGAUUGCAAUCGAGUACUCUCGCUUUUCAGAUGUGACCUCUCGACUCAAGGUCAACAACGCGCGUAGUGUAUGUCAUUUUCGGGUGUGUAUGGAACUAUCGGCUUUGCGUUGUUAAACACGCUGUAAAUAAACAAUUUUGACCUUGUUUGAACGGGAAUUAAAUAAAUCUUAAAAGACCUGGUAAGCUCUGUUGGUAGUGCGCUGGACUAGAUAUCCGAGGAUAGCGUUUGAGAUCGCCUGCCUGGCCUUCAUGCAGCUAUUCCCUCCCUACCCUUGAUACAAGUGCAGUUUAAGUGAAUGACAUAAAUAUGUGCACUUAGUACUGGUUCACUAGCUUCACUCAAGCUAAAUGUAAAAAGCGCUUCGGCAGAAUGGCAGAAGAGGUGUCAACACCUUCCAGUAGCCGGAAGAAAGUAAAAAGACUACCAUCUAAGUAAAAUAGUGUGCUGCCUCAGCACUUAAAAAUGGAAGAUCAAUAAGCAUUGCUUGGCCUAUAUUUAUAUAAGCAUGAUUUUUAACACUACGGGCUGAGGGAGCCUUGGCAAGCUUUGUUGCUUAUUGGGGAUUUUUUCCUGGAGUUUGGAUGGCUUUCUUUUUUAAAAAGCCACUUCCUGGCUUAUAUGAAUGUAAAACGUGUUUAAGAAUUUCAAACAAAAUCAUGCACCAUUUCCUGGAAGUAUAAAAUGAAAUUUGAAAUGUAUGUCGCUUCCUGGAAGAAUAAAAUGAAAUUUCAAAUGUAUGUCGUUUUGAAGAUUUGGGGUAAUUGGCUUUCACUCAGGACAGGGCUCUUCACGACCGAUAGACAGCUGGAUUUUAAUUUGGAUUUAAUGCAUAUCAGAUAAAAAAAAUCUGAAAAUCAGGUUAAAGUGAAAGUCAAUUUACUAAAAAUAAAUCAAGUUGGUUAUUUUUAAUCAUCAGAUAACGUAUACGUGUAUUGUGCAUCGGCUGUGUCUUAUAGGAUUUUAACUAGCAUUUUAGUAAAGAGUAUUUAGAUAAAUAUUGUUCUUUGUUCUUUUUAAACUCAUCUUGUCUCUGAGAUCAACUACAUGCUUUAAUGAUGACUUACAGAAUCAUUGUUUUCAAAUAUUACACUAGCUUAUAAAUCUUAACCCUAAGUAUCAAAAUUACACAUGUUAUUGGAUACUUAGGGCUUGAUUUUGCAACAAAGAUGCAGUCGGUUUUCUUCUUUAGCCAAGUGUCCAUAACAAUAAAUUUUCUAAAUCUGCUGCUUAAUACUGAGAUAAUUUAUUUGCUUGGGGAAUUGUUUUUCAGUGACUGGCGUUUUGUAAUUUAUAAAACCUUUACAAGGCAUUGUUAUUAAAACCAUCAUAAAAAUUAACCGUUAGGUUCAAGCAAGCCCAAGUUCUUAUACUACAACUUGGGGAAUACAAGGAUAUUAUACGCCUGCCAUCCAAAUAAACUUGAGCCAUGUUAGAAUUAACUAGCACAGUUCCUACUGACUGGUACUUAUUGUGACCACUGUAAGGUUAACUGGUUCAAUUCACCUCUUGGUUUUGCAGUAAAAUUUCAUGUUGAUGCACUAAAGCAUUAUUAUGCUCAGAAUGCAACCUUCAGGUGGGGGCAAAAUGUAAUGUUUGAACCUUAUUACUUUAAUUAUCCCAAAAUGUGAGAGGCCAGAAUUUCAAAAUAAGUCCCGUUUGAUGCUGCUAAGGCAGCUAUGUAUUGUUCUAUGUAAAUUAUUUAUAUAAAAAAAAAAAACCUUUGUAUGUAUUUUUAUAUGUCUGAUAUUGUUUUUGUAGUUGAAAUCCAAGAAUAAUUCGAUUGCCUGUACGAGUUUGUCCAAGAGGUUAAAGAACACUUUGCAGUUAUUGACAAAAUUAGAAAAAGUAAAACAUAUCAUUCUAGAAAUUUGGAAUGUUCAUUAUUGUUGGAAUACUAGUUGAUGUGCUUACCUUUUCUUAAGCUGUCAAAUUAUUUGAAUGUAUUAAAAGUUAGUUUUUUGUUUAAAAAAAGUUUUCAUUACAAAAUGUUUUGUCAAUUUACAAUGUUUGUGUGCUCCCUGUAUUGUGGCAUAUAGCAGUACAUCCGUCCGACAUUCCGUUUCCACACUUUUUUCCUCAACUCUGUUAAAUAUUUACCUGAUUUUUGGUUUGUGAGUCUACCUGCCUUAGUUACAGAUGUACGAGUUGUGUUAUAGUACAUGGUAAACUAAUGCAAGCCAUUAUAACAUCAUACUACACUAUUUAAAAAAAUCAUGUCUUAUUCCCUUUUUCAAAAAGGCAAAAUGCCUUUCUUCCACUCCUUUGUCAUAUAUAGAGGACUCUUUGUGGAAAAAAUAUAACAAAUUGACUUUAAAGGGGAUGCCGAAUACUAAGUAUAGUAUACAUAUGUCUUUGUGAUGGAUUAAUAUUUUAUUUACGUUUUAAAUUAAAACUGGAAUAUAUUUCUUUAAAAUAAACAAAACUGAAUUGAUA